CCUACGGGUGGCAGCAGUGGGGGAUAUUGCACAAUGGGGGGAACCCUGAUGCAGCGACGCCGCGUGUGGGAAGAAGGUCCUCGGGAUUGUAAACCACUGUCCCCAGGGACGAAAAUGACGGAACCUAGGGAGGAAGCUCCGGCUAACUACGUGCCAGCAGCCGCGGUAAUACGUGGGGAGCGAGCGUUGUCCGGAAUUACUGGGUGUAAAGGGAGCGUAGGCGGGGAGGCAAGUUGGGUGUCAAAACUACCGGCUAAACUGGUAGUCGCACUCAAAACUGCAGCUCUUGAGUGAAGGAGAGGCAGGCGGGAUUCCUAGUGUAGCGGUGAAAUGCGUAGGUAUUAGGAGGAACACCAGUGGCGAAGGCGGCCUGCUGGGCUUUUACUGACGCUGAGGCUCGAAAGUGUGGGGAGCAAACAGGAUUAGAUACCCGGGUAGUC
rnacentral:rRNA from 1 species